GGGGGGCUGGCGCAACGGUAGCGCGUUAGAUUCCAGCGUUUGCAGUUUCCUUGACUGCACGGCGAUUCCUAAAGGUUACCGGUUCAAAUCCGGUGUCCCUCA